UCGCCUGUUUAUCAAAAACAUGUCCUCUUGUUUAGAGAAUUUGAGGUCUGACCUGCCCACUGAGAAUUUUAAAGGGCCGCGGUAUUUUGACCGUGCAAAGGUAGCAUAAUCAUUAGUCUUUUAAUUGAAGGCUAGAAUGAAUGGUUGGACGAGGUGCUAGCUGUCUCAGGAUGGAUGAGAGUAGAAUUUAACAUUUAAGUUAAAAGGCUUAAAUUUGUUUAAAGGACGAGAAGACCCUAUAGAGCUUUAUAUUGAUUUCUUGUAGAUGAUCUGGAGAGUUUUAUUUUUAUAGGUACUGAAAAUAUUUUAUUGGGGUGAUAGGAAGAUAAUAGAAACUCUUUUUGAAGAAGAAACAUUAAUUUAUGGGUGAUUGAUCCGUUAUUAGUGAUUAUAAGACUAAGUUACCUUAGGGAUAACAGCGUAAUCUUUUUUGAGAGUUCAUAUCGACAAAAGGGGUUGCGACCUCGAUGUUGGAUUAAGGUAAAUUUUGGGUGUAGAUGUUCAAAUUUUAGGUCUGUUCGACCUUUAAAUCCUUACAUGAUCUGAGUUCAAACCGGAGA
rnacentral:rRNA from 1 species